UACGUAGGGUGCGAGCGUUGUCCGGAUUUAUUGGGCGUAAAGAGCUCGUAGGCGGUUCGAUAAGUCGGACGUGAAAUCUCCACGCUCAACGUGGAGGGGCCGUUCGAUACUGUCGUGACUCGAGUCCGGUAGGGGAGUGUGGAAUUCCCGGUGUAGUGGUGAAAUGCGCAGAGAUCGGGAGGAACACCCGUAGCGAAGGCGGCACUCUGGGCCGGUACUGACGCUGAGGAGCGAAAGCGUGGGGAGCAAACAGG
rnacentral:rRNA from 1 species